rnacentral:rRNA from 1 species
GCCAAGCUUGCAUGCCUGCAGGUCGACGAUUAGAGUUUGAUCCUGGCUCAGAUUGAACGCUGGCGGCAGGCUUAACACAUGCAAGUCGAGCGGUAACAGGGGGUGCUUGCACCCCGCUGACGAGCGGCGGACGGGUGAGUAAUGCUUAGGAAUCUGCCCAGUAGUGGGGGACAACAGUCGGAAACGGCUGCUAAUACCGCAUACGCCCUACGGGGGAAAGCAGGGGAUCUUCGGACCUUGCGCUAUUGGAUGAGCCUAAGUCGGAUUAGCUAGUUGGUGGGGUAAAGGCCUACCAAGGCGACGAUCCGUAGCUGGUCUGAGAGGAUGAUCAGCCACAUCGGGACUGAGACACGGCCCGAACUCCUACGGGAGGCAGCAGUGGGGAAUAUUGGACAAUGGGGGCAACCCUGAUCCAGCCAUGCCGCGUGUGUGAAGAAGGCUUUCGGGUUGUAAAGCACUUUCAGCGAGGAGGAAGGCCUUAAAGUUAAUACCUUUAAGGAUUGACGUUACUCGCAGAAGAAGCACCGGCUAACUCCGUGCCAGCAGCCGCGGUAAUACGGAGGGUGCAAGCGUUAAUCGGAAUUACUGGGCGUAAAGCGCGCGUAGGUGGUUUGGUAAGCGAGAUGUGAAAGCCCCGGGCUUAACCUGGGAACGGCAUUUCGAACUGUCAGAUUAGAGUGUGGUAGAGGUAGUGGAAUUUCCUGUGUAGCGGUGAAAUGCGUAGAUAUAGGAAGGAACACCAGUGGCGAAGGCGGCUACCUGGACCAACACUGACACUGAGGUGCGAAAGCGUGGGGAGCAAACAGGAUUAGAUACCCUGGUAGUCCACGCCGUAAACGAUGUCAACUAGCCGUUGGGACUCUUGAAGUCUUAGUGGCGCAGCUAACGCACUAAGUUGACCGCCUGGGGAGUACGGCCGCAAGGUUAAAACUCAAAUGAAUUGACGGGGGCCCGCACAAGCGGUGGAGCAUGUGGUUUAAUUCGACGCAACGCGAAGAACCUUACCUGGCCUUGACAUCCAGAGAACUUUCCAGAGAUGGAUUGGUGCCUUCGGGAACUCUGAGACAGGUGCUGCAUGGCCGUCGUCAGCUCGUGUCGUGAGAUGUUGGGUUAAGUCCCGUAACGAGCGCAACCCCUAUCCUUGGUUGCUAGCAGGUAAAGCUGAGAACUCCAGGGAGACUGCCGGUGACAAACCGGAGGAAGGUGGGGAUGACGUCAGGUCAUCAUGGCCCUUACGGCCAGGGCUACACACGUGCUACAAUGGCGCGUACAGAGGGCUGCCAACUCGCGAGAGUGAGCCAAUCCCUUAAAACGCGUCGUAGUCCGGAUCGGAGUCUGCAACUCGACUCCGUGAAGUCGGAAUCGCUAGUAAUCGCGAAUCAGAAUGUCGCGGUGAAUACGUUCCCGGGCCUUGUACACACCGCCCGUCACACCAUGGGAGUGGAUUGCACCAGAAGUAGUUAGUCUAACCUUCGGGAGGACGAUUACCACGGUGUGGUUCAUGACUGGGGUGAAGUCGUAACCAAGGUAACCAAUCUCUAGAGGAUCCCCGGGUACCGAGCUCGAAUUCGUAAUCAUGGU